CCGCAAGCAGCGGCGAUUAGCAGGAAAUUAAGCGAGGAUCAGAAGUCUGCCUCUGUAUAAACCAUCCCAACAACGGGGGUAAAAACCUGCUCCCUGUGUACCAUGGCACUGAGCGACGCUGGUUGCUUGGCUGUGUUUGUGUUGUGGUACCCUCCAAGGUUUUAGAGAGAAUGGUUUUGCUUGUGUUUUCACAUAUUUAAAGUGAAAAAGGGUAAGGUUACCCAACUUGCAGCUCUUGACACACUAAGAAGAAAAAGAUAGCAUGGGAUGUUUUCAUUCUGGCUCCUAGAUAGAGAAAUUUCUGGGUUUUGGCUGAUUUGUGUAAGGAGAAAAGCCAUUUUGUUUACAUUAAGAGUUGCUCCAAAACAUGCCAAUGGAUAAAAAAGGAUCCACAGUUGUGAAAAAUCGCUGUUUGACUCAUCCAGUGAGUACCUUGCUGGAGUUGAUAAACACUGCUGCCUCCAAACAGAAAUCAUCCAGGCAUAGGAGGAGAUCUGUGCCCUUCUUCCACCCUGACUCCUGCUAGAUGCCCUCACCUCUGUACAGGCUUCUGUGCUCCCACGUGCCUUUACUGUGGUGCAAGUAAGGUUUUAUGUGGUGUGUAAACAAGGAAAUCCCUAGAAGCAAAAGAGCACUUUAGAAGUUGGGCUUGCCUGAUGGCAAAAUGAUGACAUGCAGCCACAGCACUGAUAAGGGCUGCAUGUCUGUUGUGUGUUGAGAAAUGGGUGAAACACAGCACAGGGGAGGAAGAGAUGGAAUGUCAUCAUGUGCUUUCCAUUUGCACCAACAUAAAAAAAGGGAUAGUGUUUUCUACUCUUUCCAAGAUAAUGUGAUGUAUGUGUCUGGUUCUAUUAUUUAAAAAAUAUUAAAAUUAUUUGAAAUAUGUUUCAG
rnacentral:lncRNA from 1 species